rnacentral:rRNA from 1 species
CCUACGGGAGGCUGCAGUGGGGAAUAUUUGGCAAUGGUCGCAAGCCUGACCCAGCAACGCCGCGUGAAGGAAGAAGGCUUUCGGGUUGUAAACUUCUUUUCUGAGGGACGAAGAAAGUGACGGUACCUCAGGAAUAAGCCACGGCUAACUACGUGCCAGCAGCCGCGAUAAUACGUAGGUGGCAAGCGUUAUCCGGAUUUAUUGGGUGUAAAGGGCGUGUAGGCGGGAAAGCAAGUCAGAAGUGAAAACUCAGGGCUAAACGCUGAUCCUUCAUUUGAAACUGUUUUUCUUGAGUGCUGGAGAGGCAAGCGGAAUUCCGGGGGUAGCGGUGAAAUGCGUAGAAAUACGGAGGAACACCAGUGGAGAAGGCGGAUUGAUGGACAGUAACUGACGCUGAGGCGCGAAAGCGUGGGGAGCAAACAGGAUUAGAGACCCCAGUAGUC